UACGUAGGGGGCAAGCGUUGUCCGGAUUUAUUGGGCGUAAAGAGCGUGUAGGCGGCUUUGCAAGUCCGUUGUGAAAACUCGAGGCUCAACCUCGAGACGCCGGUGGAAACUGCAAAGCUAGAGUCCGGAAGAGGAGAGUGGAAUUCCUGGUGUAGCGGUGAAAUGCGCAGAUAUCAGGAAGAACACCCGUGGCGAAGGCGGCUCACUGGACCGGUAUUGACGCUGAGGUGCGAAAGCGUGGGGAGCAAACAGG
rnacentral:rRNA from 1 species